AUUGAACGCUGGCGGCAGGCCUAACACAUGCAAGUCGAGCGGAGCGGCGGACGGGUGAGUAAUGCCUAGGAAUCUGCCUGGUAGUGGGGGAUAACGUCCGGAAACGGGCGCUAAUACCGCAUACUAGCAGAUGAGCCUAGGUCGGAUUAGCUAGUUGGUGGGGAAAAGUCCCACCAAGGCGACGAGCCGUAACUGGUCGGAGAGGAGAAUCAGUCACACUGGAACUGAGACCCGGUCCUGACUCCUACGGAAGGCAGCAGUGGUGAAUAUUGGACAAUGGGCGAAAGCCUGAUCCAGCCAGGCCGCGUGUGUGAAGAAGGGCUUCGGAUUGUAAAGCACUUUAAGUUGGGAGGCGUUACCAACAGAAUAAGCACCGGCUAACUUCGUGCCAGCAGCCGCGGUAAUAC
rnacentral:rRNA from 1 species